rnacentral:tRNA from 1 species
UAGAAAAUAAUAUAAGGGAAGUAUGAAGGGGUUUGAUUCCUUUAGUGCAGGUUCGAGUCCUGUUUUUCUAA